rnacentral:rRNA from 1 species
CCCUUAGAUGUUCUGGGCCGCACACGCGCUACACUGAAGGAGGCAGCGUGUACUCCUGGAUCGAAAGAUUUGGGUAACCCGCGAAUCUCCUUCGUGCUAGGGAUUGAGGUUUGCAAUUAUCCUUCAUGAACGAGGAAUUCCCAGUAAGUGCAAGUCAUAAGCUUGCGCUGACUACGUCCCUGCCCUUUGUACACACCGCCCGUCGCUACUACCGAUUGAAUGGUCCGGUGAAAAUUUCGGAUACCGGCAUUGCUGGCGGUUCGCCGCCGGCGACGCUGGUAGAAGAUCUUUAAACCUUAUCAUUUAGAGGAAGGAGAANUCGUANCA